UACGGAGGGUGCGAGCGUUAAUCGGAAUUACUGGGCGUAAAGGGUGCGUAGGUGGUUUAUUAAGUUGUCUGUGAAAUUCCUGGGCUCAACCUAGGCUGGUCAGAUAAAACUGGUAGACUCGAGUAUGGGAGAGGGCAGUGGAAUUUCCGGUGUAGCGGUGAAAUGCGUAGAGAUCGGAAGGAACACCAGUGGCGAAGGCG
rnacentral:rRNA from 1 species